UGCUGAUGUACACCAAGUUGGUUGUGGGC
rnacentral:piRNA from 1 species